CACGCCNUAAGCGAUGUCGAUUAGCUGUUGGGCAGCAUGACUGCUUGGUAGCGAAGCUAACGCGUGAAAUCGACCGCCUGGGGAGUACGGUCGCAAGAUUAAAACUCAAAGGAAUUGACGGGGACCCGCACAAGCGGUGGAUGAUGUGGAUUAAUUCGAUGCAACGCGAAGAACCUUACCUGGUCUUGACAUAUACGGAACCCUUCAGAGACGGAGGGGUGCCUUCGGGAGCCGUAACACAGGUGCUGCAUGGCUGUCGUCAGCUCGUGUCGUGAGAUGUUGGGUUAAGUCCCGCAACGAGCGCAACCCUUGUCAUUAGUUGCCAUCAUUAAGUUGGGCACUCUAAUGAGACUGCCGGUGACAAGCCGGAGGAAGGUGGGGAUGACGUCAAGUCCUCAUGGCCCUUAUGACCAGGGCUUCACACGUCAUACAAUGGUCGGUACAGAGGGUAGCCAAGCCGCGAGGUGGAGCCAAUCUCACAAAACCGAUCGUAGUCCGGAUUGCACUCUGCGACUCGAGUGCAUGAAGUCGGAAUCGCUAGUAAUCGCAGGUCAGCAUACUGCGGUGAAUACGUUCCCGGGUCUUGUACACACCGCCCGUCACACCAUGGGAGUGGGGGAUACCAGAAGUAGG
rnacentral:rRNA from 1 species